AUUGAACGCUGGCGGUAUGCUUAACACAUGCAAGUCGAACGGUAACAGGCCUUCGGGCGCUGACGAGUGGCGGACGGGUGAGUAACGCGUAGGAAUCUGCCUCAUAGUGGGGGACAACGUGGGGAAACUCACGCUAAUACCGCAUACGCCCUACGGGGAAAGCGGGGGACCUUCGGGCCUCGCGCUAUGAGAUGAGCCUGCGUUAGAUUAGCUAGUUGGUAGGGUAAAGGCCUACCAAGGCGACGAUCUAUAGCUGGUCUGAGAGGACGAUCAGCCACACUGGGACUGAGACACGGCCCAGACUCCUACGGGAGGCAGCAGUGGGGAAUAUUGGACAAUGGGCGCAAGCCUGAUCCAGCAAUACCGCGUGUGUGAAGAAGGCCUUAGGGUUGUAAAGCACUUUCAAUGGGGAGGAAUACCUGGCGGUUAAUACCUGUCAGACUGACAUUACCCAUACAAGAAGCAACCGGCUAACUCCGUGCCAGCAGCCGCGGUAA
rnacentral:rRNA from 1 species